AGGAUGGGAGUGAGGCGAUAGGCAUGGACAUUUUCCUGAGUGUUUGGUUCAAGAGGAAAUCCCCAAGUAGAUCAGAAUACAGCAGUGCGCUAGAUGGAGGGCAGAAGCUUGGUAAGAUCCAGUGGAACCAACGGGAAGUGGCCGCGCCUGGAGCGUAAACAUGCCAGCCGUCGCCUGCGCCGGCCCCAGCCCCCACCCGUGGGCUCCCAUGGAGCGCGAGCCCAGUCCCUAAGCUGAGAGAAGAAAGCCCACCGUCUGUGACCAUCGUCCGGCGUCGUGUUCGGGGCACCAAGCCCCUUCCUCGGGUACCUAGCGUGCCCUCGUGCGCGCUGGGCGGCCCCCUGCCCGGGGAUUUGUGAAUGUUGGGAUAAAUGACAC